rnacentral:tRNA from 16 species
AGAUAGCUGAGUUGUAGGAGUACUACACCUGCAAACUAGAAGUCCCCAGUUCAAUUCCUG